UACGGAGGGUGCAAGCGUUGUUCGGAAUCACUGGGCGUAAAGCGCGUGUAGGCGGUCUGUUAAGUCAGGUGUGAAAUCCCCCAGCUUAACUGGGGAAUUGCGCCUGAAACUGGCAGGCUGGAGUGUCGGAGAGGGAAGGGGAACUCCCGGUGUAGAGGUGAAAUUCGUAGAUAUCGGGAAGAACACCCGUGGCGAAGGCGGUUCUCUGGGACGGUACUGACGCUGAGACGCGAAAGCGUGGGGAGCGAACAGG
rnacentral:rRNA from 1 species